rnacentral:rRNA from 1 species
GUGUCGAAUGUCGAAUCUUCGUGUUCUGUUCGUUGGUUUAGAAGAAGUCCCAGGAGACGUUACCGCAGCAGGUGGUACCGUGAGAGGAGGGGCCCAGAACGGCGCCGGUUCUAGCGGAGGAGGUUGCACAAACCGCUCCCGGCGUAGUGUUACGCGUUCUGCCGCCGGUUCCGGUUCGGGCGGCGAAGGUCGUCGGGCACCAUGCCGGGCCUGGCACGGGAGAUAGAGCCGGGUGAGAGGCCACUACGCGGCAGGAUGGAGUGGCCGCUCAAGGGGCCCCUGAUGCCGACCCUGUGACGGCCCGAGAGCCGACUGGGGCUCUGCAAGAGCUUCUUGUCCCUCGAGCUCCACUAGGUGACGGCCACCCGGUACGAGCCACGAGAGCCGACGCAGAAGGGCCUCGAGGAGCGAGCGUUGCCGCAGUUCAAGCCACUCCGGCACACCAAGUUUCGACCAAGAGUCUAGAAGUCACUUCCACCGGACCUGAUGGAACCGUUGGGGUCGGAACAGGUGCGCGUCUCGUAGGAACGGUAAACCCGGACGGUCCAGCACGAGUACCCGCGACAGCUCCCCAUGGCGCAACGGCCACCGGGCGAGCCACUCUAGCAGCUGGGGGAGAUGGGGCCGCCAUCGAAGCUGGGGGAGCCAGACCGGCUACUGGGACUCCGCAAACGCCUCGAGUUCCACUUCCUCUAGUUCUUACCGGCCGAGCGGUACAAGAGGUACAAACCGAAGAAGCAGGUCCGGUAGCAGUGGCCGUUCCCCGGGGAACUCUUGGAACGGCUGGUGGAGCGGCUAGGGCAGUUGUUGUUGCGGACCCGUAAGCGGUGGUUGAAGCAGGGGCCGUUCACUUAUACUCCGCUACGGGCAAGAGACGCCGCGAACCCUACCUUGUCUGUACUCAACACACUUUGUUUCGUUCGCCAUGACGUCGAAAAAAAAGUGGACAUGCUAAUAAGUAGGCUACUCCAGUACAUUGUCAUAAACUAACCAAAUAGCUUGUUCUUACUACCAUUUGAAGGUUUUCUUUUUUUUUUGAACGUUCUACUGCCAGACCUUCUAAUGACUUUAAGAGAGACUUUGUUUACGUGUCAUCCACUCGAGUCCCAACGUUCUCGUCGGUUCCUGACAUUUUCUUCUUCUUCUUUCUUUUGUUUCCUCAGACGAUAAAGUUACCUUUUAGUUCACCGACAUGUCGUUCGCUCGAGUACCAAAUUCAGUAAUGUUCACUGUCCGCUGCCUCCCUCCUCCGUCUGGACUAAUGCACCCUCACCUAAACUUGGGUCUUCCUGUUCGACAGGAGAAUAGAGUCGACAAAACAUUCAUAUUACGUAUCGACUAUUCUACAACUAGGAGUACUCCUUGAUCGGAAAAUUAGGUCGCUUGGACUGAGUCUUUUGAAGUCAAUACGUAUAGUUAUGAAAACUUUGUGUUACUACGACGUGUUUGUGAAGUAGACUGUUUUCUUGACUCUUGUCAAUUUUCGAAACGAGCUAACGUAGAUCAUCGUUUAUAAGUUUACUCUUGAAACUUCCGGCUUCUCCUCUUUCCAGGAGUUUUCUAAUAAGAACAAUUUUUACAACGUAUUUAGUUUCGACAGUUCCACGAAGAGGAAGGAGUAACGUUCCACGUGGAUCGUACAAGAAGGGGGGCAAGAUAGACCUUAUUAAAGAUGGCAGGUAACAAAUUGUUUUCUAGGG